CAAGCGUGAGCCACCACGCCCAGCCAGCAAAUUUAACCUCUAUAAUUAGGGCCCCCGGAAAUAAAAAGAAGCGGGCGUGUGUCACGGAGUAUGCACGCUCUCUGGAACGACCCUCUAAAGAAGGGCAGACAGGAGAGGCUGCCGGAGUGCCCGCCUCUCUGCUCUUCCUGCGCGCUGCACGGAUAAGGAAUGGUGAUGCUCGGGUUUCCUUAAAGAGCGCCAGACCCAGCGGGCUUUGCACUACAGAACUGGCUUUUCAAGCAAGAGCUUGCCGUGAGGCCUAAAUCUACCAUUAUGCUGAGUCCAGCCUCACCACCUGUUUCAGAGAAGCCUUCCUGGAUAAGCCCGUCACUGGAGAGGCUGGACGACUGCCCGGAGAUGAAGGCCAGUCUGGGACACACAGGGAGAUAAACUUAACCAUCCCAGCUCCACCUGCUGUCAGCUUGGCUCAUAUAAACAUCUCCGUCAAACAAUGGGAUGACUGAGGUUAAAAAAAAAAAUAUAUGCCCUGUAGGAGUCAGGAUUGGCCUGGCCCUAAGAUGAACUGAAGUCACUUGGACUGUGACAUCACUCAUAAGGAUGGGUAUCACAGCCUAAAAGUAAUGCUCAAGGUUUUUAAGGGGAAAGGACAUUGUUUAAGGGGAAGGAAUAUUGUCUGCGGCAAGUAAAUUCUGGGAGAUAAGGGAGGAGCAUGUCUUAUCAGCCAACAAAAGAUCACCAGGUUGUAAAACUGCAUCAUUUUCCCGGCAUUCCAGGAAGACCAGCUCUGUCCACUGAAGAGAACAAAAGGACCAGACACCGGAGAUAUUGGAUCAAACCUGACAGAAUUCAUCUUUUCAGUGUUCUGAGACAUUGACACAUCUGUUCCAGCACCUUGCAUGUUCCAGCAUUCUGCUUGUUCCUGCCUCAACUGCUUCAAUUGCUGUUUCUCAUCAAAGCCUGCUCCCAAGAGAUCUUUGAAGAAAGGUGUAGGAUAUGGGACUGAUUCAGAUUGUCCACAACAGCAAAGUAUUCACCUCAUGCCGACUCUGAGAGAGGCUCUUUGCCAGAUGCAGAUAGUUUAACUCUGAGAACUCUGGAGAGGGAAUAAAUGCCAGAGCCCAGAGAGUGUUGGGGAGCUCCGAGAAAGAAGGCUGCUGGUGCCCACCCACCCCAAUCUGCUACUCCUGGUUGCUAUUGAUGUAGUUUGAUGAGAAGACGUUGGAGAUAUACCAAAAUGAAGAGUGGACUUCCCACAAGGAACCUGAUGACUCUAACCAGCAGGAAGGAGCUAAAGGGAACUCUGCCCCAU